AAUCACCGCCCCAGCCUCCGAUCGCGACAGAGGGGGACCGUUUCGAUGGUUUAGGCGAAAAAGGUUAGUCCUUUUCCCCUUUUUACUUUCAUAUGCACAGAAACAAACAAAAAUAAAAGAAAACAAAAAAAAUUCUAAUAAGUCACCUUAAAACUGAUAUUUGCUCUCUAUUGAUUUUUCUCUGUGAUUUUUACAUGUCCCCCCCCCACUUUACACUGACCUUUCACGACUUUAAAUAGUCGAAAUAGAAAAGAGAGCAAAAAACAAAAAUCACAAAAGAUAAUUCUGUUUGGCAUUGUCCCCGA
rnacentral:lncRNA from 1 species